rnacentral:rRNA from 1 species
UGGGGAAUUGUUCACAAUGGGCGCAAGCCUGAUGACGCAACGCCGCGUGGGGGAUGAAGGUCUUCGGAUCGUAAACCCCUGUCGAAUGGGACGAAAGACUCGCGAGUGAAUACUUCGCGAGAGUGACGGUACCGUUAAAGGAAGCCACGGCUAACUCUGUGCCAGCAGCCGCGGUAAUACAGAGGUGGCAAGCGUUGUUCGGAAUUACUGGGCGUAAAGGGCGCGUAGGCGGCCCUCUAAGUCAGACGUGAAAUCCCCGGCUUAACCUGGGAACUGCGUCUGAUACUGUUAGUCUCGAGUCCGGAAGAGGUGAGUGGAAUUCCUAGUGUAGAGGUGAAAUUCGUAGAUAUUAGGAAGAACACCAGUGGCGAAGGCGGCUCACUGGUCCGGUACUGACGCUGAGGUGCGAAAGCGUGGGGAGCAAACAGGAUUAGAUACCCACGUAGUCCCUGAGCGGGCUGGCAAGGCGCAU